rnacentral:lncRNA from 1 species
AUGACCACAGUUCUCACUCAGGGUGAGUUCCUCAUUCUGAGAAUGAAUCUUUCCUGGUUAUUUCUGAAGUCUGCUACCGUAAGGAACUCUCACCAUUAUCUUAGUCUCUCUUGCUACGCUGUCACACAUUAUUGUCCUUCCUGUACCACCUCUGCUAUUUUAGGUUUUGGGGCCACACUGACAUAUAAUUUAGAGUUAAAUUCUCUCUACUACUUUCAGUACAGGUGUAAUGUAUGGGUAGCUGCUUGCCCCUUACUCUCCUCUUCCCAUUAACCCAUUUUGCUUAAUAUUUUGUAUGGUUUUAAGGAAAAGUACUUAAAAGAUUGAAACUAAGCAGUCACCUUGCUCCUGCGAAAUGUUUCCUUGUCUCCUUGACCAUUGGUGUUCCUAGGAUUCUGUCCUUGACCAUUCACAUACUGUGUAUGUUCUCUAUAAGCAAUCACAUAACAUUCCACCUAUCUUCUGCAGCAGUUAUAGUCUGACAGCUGACAGAUUGCCAUUUCCAUUCUAGGCUGUUCUGAGCUCCCUGUUUAUGUAUGCAGUUGCCUAAUGGAUAUAUUUGCCUGCAUGUUCCUUAGAAACCUGACACUCUGAAUGUCCAGAUCAAACUUGAUCUCCUUCUUCUUGCAGGUUGUUUCUAGGCAACCCACACUCUCAUGUUUAUCUCUGUGUACAUUACUAUUUAAGUCAUGCUCUGAGCCUUCCAUCUGCCGUACCCCAGUACAAGUUGGUGACUGUGCUUUUUCACCAUGCAUAGUAGAUAGAGUGUAUAAGUAGUAACUUGUAUUUUUUAGGAUUUUGCUUUUUUUUUUUAAAGUAAUUUCAACUUUAUAGAAAAGCUGCAUGUACCCUUUCUAGAGAAGAGUGCAAUGUACAGAGAAGUCCCAUAUACACUUUACCCAAAUUCACCAUUUACUUUUUAAAUUGCCUUAUUUUUCCUUCUCUAAUUCUCCAGAAAUGUGUAGGUUCUUUUGCACUGAGACUAAGUUGUAUACUGCUCCCUUUAUCUAUAAAUACUUCAGCAUAAAUUUUCUAAGAACAAGGACAUUCUUAUACAUCAUCAUGGUAAUCAAAAUCAGAAAAUAUAAUAUUAAUACUAUUAUUUCAAAGUCUAUAUUCAGAUUUUUGUCUAUCGUCCCAAUAAUGUUCAUAACUCUUUGUUGUUGUUUUGAAUGUGUGGGUGAACAUAUUUAUGGGACAUUUUUAAUAUAUAGUUUCAUUUAGAGUAUAUUGCAAUCAAAUAUUAGGAAUCCAGGAACACUUUUUCAGUUUUUGUUCCUAAAUACUGUUAAGAACAACUUUAUCCAUGUGACUUAGUUGUGAUAGGCAUAUGUUGUUCUAGAUAAUGAAUAUUAAAUUUCAUCCAAGAGUCAGGGUCACAGUUAAAAUCAUACUUAGGAACCUACGCAGAAGUGUGGUGCUAGAGAACAGUAGCAGCCAGUCAGGUAAGAUGUGAACAGCUUUUCUUAUGUAAGUCA